CUGGAGCCUGCUUCAGAUUCUGUCUCCCCUCUCUGCCCCUCCCUUGCUCACACUCUGUCUCUUUCUCAAAAAUAAAAUAAAAACAUAAGAUGAGGCCAUUAGGGUGACUAUAUGGGAUCACUAUAGGGUGAAUAGUGUCCUUAUACAAGGAGAAAUUUGUACACAGAGACACAGAGACACACAGAGGGAAGACGAUGUGAAGACACCAUUCACAGCUAAGGAGAGAGGACUGGAACAGAUCUUACCCUCCAAGCCCUUGGAGGAAACCAACCCUACAGAAACCUUGAUCUCGAACUUCUAGAAUUGGGAGAGAUGAAUUUCUGCUGUCUAAGCCACUCAGACUUUGGCCAGCACAUCAUGUGGCUGUUCUGCGUCCUUUAGUCUGGCAGCCAGUCAGAGAUGAGUGGAGUAGCCCUGGCAGCUACAUGGUGUUGAGCCCGAACCCCAAGGAUGUGGCUUUCGGGAUAUUUCUUUGAUCACAGGAUCUUUCUCUCUUCUGGAAUUGAAACCUCACUGCCCGUGUGCUGAACUCAGCUCAGAGAUGUGUUUGUGUGGCCUACACAGUGUUUUUCACCGUGUCUACUGGAGCCCUUUUAGAUGGGGUGUGUACCCUUGGGUCAGGCCUGGCUAUUAGCCCUCCUUGUGGGCUCUUCCCUGAAGCCUGUUCCCUCUCUCCUCACCAUCUGAUCUGCCUGGGGCAGAGUAUGUGUGGCCUCUACCAUCUGCAUUUUCACCACAAGAGGCUGUGGAGUGGAAGAAAAACCUUUUCUCAGCAUCUACUACACGUCACUCACUUCUCCAACCAUUUUUACAUCUCGAGUCUUCUUCCAACUGUAGUAACGCUACAACGUAGACAUUCAUUGACAUUCACAGAGGAGGGGCUGUCCCCCAAAUCAAGUGUGUUAAGCAUCCUUGGCUCCUACAUAGGCUUUAUGGGCUUCACCUCUCCCCUGGGAGCUGGGCUUUGCCAGGGAGAAGACUGCACUGGAAUUCAUGGGCCAGUGCUUGCUGCUUAGAAAUAAGUCCUCCCUAAGUGCCUUCCAUAUGCGGCAGGAGGAGGAGAAUGGUUCCUUUGAUGAUUUCAGAUCACUUACGGUCCCACGACUCACAGAUCAGUUCCCAUUAUGGUUGGAGCAAACUGUUCCAAUGUGGUAUAUUUUCCCGGGUACUGGGAAACUCUGGAUUUUUGUUUUUGCCUGUUAUCUGGGGCUUUUGAAGACUGUCAGGACUGAAGGCACAAAUUUGCAGAGCAUACACAGAAAGAAAGAGAUGUGGCUAUGGCUGACAGAGCAGCUGCUGUAGGGACGCUGGGAGACAGGAGGGCUCUGUCUCCUGGGAAUCAGCUUGGAAUGUGAGCACCCCUCUGUUGGUGUACACGCAGGGCAGGGCAAGGGGUGACAAGGGGCAGGGAGGCUAGCUGGCUGGGUUAGGUUUUCUAAGACAAGGAGGCAGUAGCUUGCUCUUUCAUCUCUGAAGAGGACCAGGCAUAGGUCUGAUGAGCAAUACCUCCCACUGCCUUCCCUUGGUCUAGAGGAAUCCCUACUUCUUGGGGCAGUGAUUCCAAAUCGUUUCAUUGCUAGCCACUCUAGUAAUUGUGCUGUAUUGAUGGAGCAUGGUCCUGAGGCAUGAUUAAUGUGGAUCAAAGUGCUCAGCAGAACACGGCCUUACAGACAGAUUAAUCUCUGCAGGAAAUGAUCACAGUUUGAUCGCUGGUCAUUUUGUUUUUACUUGAAAACAGAACAAAAACUCAAUAAUCAAAUUAGAGAAAAUAAAGGCUUUUAUAUUAAUGAGAAGAAAGGAAGAGAAUAGCACAAUCUUGUCCAGGUUCUGAGAAGGAUGAGACAUACAGUGCAGAGGCAUUCAUGUCUAUUAGACGAUGCUCGCCAACCCAGCGGUUAGCUGGCGAGGUGAACAGAGAGAGAGAGGGCCCUUGCACCUUCGGUGAGCUCUCUCAGGGCUCCCCAUACUCUCACCAAUGGCACAUCAUUCAAGUGAUAGAUUUUGGAAGAGUAAUAAAGGAAAAAGGCUUAAAUAGGUUAAACUAUUCUUAUAGGUGAAAUAUAUAUUACAAGAAAAAAUCACUAUCAUCUUUUGGGGGGAGCACAAAUGAGCCUAGUUUUUGGGCAGAUGGCCUAUGUAAGAGCUUGGCCUUGAGCAUUGACUUUCUUUUUUUAUUAACUCCUUGUUUUUUAUUUUAGAGAGACCAUGAGUUGGGGAGGGGAGCAGAGAGAGACAGAGAAUCUUAAGCAGGCUCCAUGCUCAGUGCUGAGCCUGAUGUAGGUCUCGAUCCCACAACUCUGGGAUCAUGACCUGAGCUGAAAUAAAGUCGGAUGCUCAGCUGACUGAGCCACCCAGGUGCCCUGAGCAUUGACUUUCUUGAUCAUCUUCUCGAUGGUCUCUUGCCUUAUGGGAACUUGUUGAAGUAGGGCUACUUGGAGACUCACUGACCACAGGUCUGGACCAAGAAAAGCCAGUCCUUGGAAUUUGGGGUUCCAGCCUAGCCUACUAUAAACUGGCCCCAGCUCAAUGUCCACAGGGAGGCCAGUUGGCUUCCCCUGUUUGAAAAUUCUAGGAUGACCCCUAAGCUGAUCCCAGUCACAAACUAGCCAUCUGCUAGGUCUCAUCAAGCAUCUUAUAGCUUUUUGGCAAUUCUAUUUCCUAUAUGACAGAGGAUUUGAUGAAGACAAUUGCUAUCUUGGCCCUAAAUGUGGACAGUGUGGAGGAACCAUUUGGUGAAGUGGAAGUGAGGGGAGCCUUGUGACAGAUUUCCCAGAUGACCUUUCAGUUUCUGAAGACAGGAAGGGAAGGCUGGGCAAAAGAUGCUCUCACCCUACAACUUGGUAAGGGGAACUGCAAAAGUCCCAAAGAAAUCCCAAUAUUUUUGUCAAAAUAAGGAAAGAUGACUCUUUGGGCUGUAGAGGCUCUGAAAUGAAUGUGGGCACAUAAUCGUGAAUACCUCUAGUGGAGAUAGGGAAUGUCUGAAUAAACCAACAGAGCCAUACAAGGAGAUUUUGGAGAAAUUCAUACUCAGGACAAGAAUAUAUAAUAGGACUGGGGAUGCCUAUUCAGAUUUGUAUGAGGCCCUUCUAGAGGAAACAGGGAAGCAUAGAAUUUUAAGCAGGUCAAUUAGGUUGAUGUAUAACUUUAAGCAUAUAUCCAGAGGUUAUUGAUCCACUGAUUGAUGUCAAUCAAAAGAGGACUUCAAUAUUGGCUCUGUCUCCUUCAACAUGUCCACUGUCUGUGAAGAGCUGUGGCACAAAGAUCAAACAUUACGUGAUGACAAGUCAAGAAGGAUGGCUCUGUAAUCAGUGCCACACAAGCCCACCGUGUAAUAUAUAGGAGCCUAGGUAAUAUGGUGCUCUCAGAAUUUGUUUAUUUACUUGAGAGAUGAUGAUUCCAAAUAUCUCCAAUGACUGGCACAAUGUGUCAGAGAACACAAGAUAAAAUCUAAAACAUGCAAAACCUGAAAGGUUUGAAAGGCCAAUUGCAGUGUUUGGCCUAGAAUUAGAAAGAAUAAUAAUACCUGACAUUUACUGAGUUCUGCUACUCAUCAGGCAUGAUGCUGAGUGAUUUUCAGACAUUAUUCUAUUUUGUCCUCAUGGCAGCCCAUGAGUUGGCAGGGUGAUAAUCUCUAUUUUAUUAAAAAAGAAAACUGAACCUUGGGUUUUAGGUAAAUUUCCCUAGGUCAUAUGGUAUAGUAGAUGAAAUUAUUGUCCAGCAAGUAUUUAUUCCUAUCCCUAAAUAUCCUCCAAUCAGUUACUUCCAUGCACUAUUGAUACUGGACCUGGCCAUGAACUUGCUUUGACUCAUGUUAUGUGGGCAAAAGUGAAUGUGAAAGUUCUGAGUCUAAGCUUUCAGGGGUGGGGAAUGUUUCCCCUUGUUCCUCCAUUUCUUUUUUUUUUAUAUGAAAUUUAUUGACAAAUUGGUUUCCAUACAACACCCAGUGCUCAUCCCAAAAGGUGCCCUCCAUUUCUGAACACAACAAGAAGAGCCUGCCCCAGGUACUCAGUGUCCUCUCACCUGAGCCACAGGAAUGAGAAUGUAGAGCGGGGCCACUCAGCUGACCCAAAGACCUGCCAGUGGGAGAAAUAUGUCCUCAAUGUUGUAUGCCACCAAGAUUUUCUGGUCGUCACCUAGCAGCACUAACUGAUACAUAGCUCCAGUUUGUAGAUGAGCUGACAUUCAAACCCAGAUAAUCUACUCCAGAGUCCAUGCUCUUUGGCAUUUCACCAUAUCUCACUAAAAAAAAUAAAGAAGAAUAAUUGAGGUGACUUACAAUAGUCCCAGAUACAGUCUUUUGGGUAAAUAUAAAAAAGUCUAUUCUCAAUUUAUAAUUAUAGUUCAAUCUCUAUCAAAAUCCCAAUCAUUUUUUUAAUUGGACUUUUACAAAUUGAUUAGAAAAUUACACUGGCAAGGGGCACUUGCGUGGCUCAGUCAGCUGAGUGUUUAACUCUGGAUUUCAGCUCAGGUCCAUGAUCCCAGGGUCGUGGGAUGGAGCCCCUGCUUGAGACUCUCUUUCUCUGUCCCUCUCCCCCACUCGCAUUCUCUCUCUCUUAAAAAAAUAAAUAAAAAGAAAAUUACACUGGCAAGGGAAACCUGGUCAAUAUAAAAAUACUUAAAAAACAAGAAAUAAUGAAGGGGACAACUAUUAACAGAUUCUAGAACAUAUAUACCAAUAAUUAAAUCAGAGAGAUAAAGAGAUACUGUGCAAAACAAAUUUAUAGCAACAACAAAGUCUGUAGGAGAUCCUAUUACAUAAAAUAACUUAAUAGAAGAUAAAGGAGGAAUCAAACACCAUGGAGAAAGGAAGGAUUGUUGACUAAAUGAUUUUGGCAGAAUUUAUUGUUAUUUGGGGGAAAAAAAGCUACAUACCUCAUCAUGUGCCAAAAAUAAGUAACAGUUCUAUUAAGGAAUUAAGUAGGAAAAAAAAUCCUGGAAAAUAAGGAAAAGAUAGGUCACAAGAUUUUUCAGAUAAUUUUCGAAAAUGUAAAGUGAUAAAAAGUAUUACAAAGGCAAAUACAGUUGACCCUUGAACAGAGUGGGGGUUCGCAUGUGCAGUCAAAAACCUGCAUUUAACUUUUGAUUCCCCUAAAACUUGACUACCUAGCCUAAUGUUGACUGGAAGCCUUACUGAUAGCAUAUACAGUUGAUUAACACAUUAUAUGUUACCAGUGUUAUAUAUAGACUAUAUUCUUAGCAUAAAGUAAGCUAGAGAAAAGAAAAUGUUAAGAGAACCAUAAAAAAGAGAAAGUACAGUACUGUGCUGUAUUUGUCCAAAAA